CUUCCCCUCCCUUACUCCAGUCACCUUGUACCCAGUGGGGUGGAAUGGCAUUGACAGGGGAUAGAGCACUGUGGCUGUCUCUCACCUAGGACUAUUCUCCUAUAUGAGGCUUGUGAGAGAGCUGACAAU
ensembl:snoRNA